AUUGAACGCUGGCGGCAGGCCUAACACAUGCAAGUCGAGCGGAUGAGGGGAGCUUGCUUCCUGAUACAGCGGCGGACGGGUGAGUAAUGCCUAGGAAUCUGCCUGGUAGUGGGGGACAACGUUUCGAAAGGAACGCUAAUACCGCAUACGUCCUACGGGAGAAAGUGGGGGAUCUUCGGACCUCACGCUAUCAGAUGAGCCUAGGUCGGAUUAGCUAGUUGGUGAGGUAAAGGCUCACCAAGGCGACGAUCCGUAACUGGUCUGAGAGGAUGAUCAGUCACACUGGAACUGAGACACGGUCCAGACUCCUACGGGAGGCAGCAGUGGGGAAUAUUGGACAAUGGGCGAAAGCCUGAUCCAGCCAUGCCGCGUGUGUGAAGAAGGUCUUCGGAUUGUAAAGCACUUUAAGUUGGGAGGAAGGGCUGUAGGCUAAUACCCUGCAGUUUUGACGUUACCGACAGAAUAAGCACCGGCUAACUUCGUGCCAGCCGCCGCAGUAA
rnacentral:rRNA from 1 species